UACGUAGGAUGCGAGCGUUGUUCGGAAUUACUGGGCGUAAAGAGUACGUAGGCGGUUAUAUAAGCUUGAUAUAAAAGACUGGGGCUCAACUUCAGGAAUGUAUCAUGAACUGUAUAACUAGAGGCUAAUAGGGGGUGCUGGAAUUACCAGUGUAGCGGUGAAAUGCGUAGAUAUUGGUAAGAACACCUGUGGCGGAAGCUAGCAUAUGGGUUAGUACUGACGCUGAGGGACGAAAGCGUGGGGAGCAAACAGG
rnacentral:rRNA from 1 species